CAGCAGCCGCGGUAAUACGAAGGGUGCAAGCGUUAAUCGGAAUUACUGGGCGUAAAGCGUGCGUAGGCGGUGAGUUAAGUCUGCUGUGAAAUCCCCGGGCUCAACCUGGGAAUGGCAGUGGAUACUGGCUCGCUAGAGUGUGUCAGAGGAUGGUGGAAUUCCCGGUGUAGCGGUGAAAUGCGUAGAGAUCGGGAAGAACAUCAGUGGCGAAGGCGGCCAUCUGGGACAACACUGACGCUGAGGCACGAAAGCGUGGGGAGCAAACAGGAUUAGAUACCCGCGUAGUCCCUGUCUCUUAUAC
rnacentral:rRNA from 1 species